GCCCCUGUGGCGGAAUUGGUAGACGCGGCAGACUCAAAAUCUGUUGCCCGCAAGGGCGUGCUGGUUCGAGUCCGGCCAGGGGCACCA
rnacentral:tRNA from 2 species